rnacentral:lncRNA from 1 species
CCAGAUGCCAAGCGUGCCAGAAUCUGCUCGACCGCGCGAAGGCGAGCAGAAUCCCAAGCAUUGAAGAAUUUUCUAAGGCAUGCAAAGGCUCACGAUGUCUCAAAGCCUGUUUAUCGCGAGACCAGAAGCCAAACAUGCCAGGAUCAGCUCGACCGCGCGAAGGCGAGCAGAAUCCCAAGUAUUGAAGAAUUUUCUAAGGCAUGCAAAGGCUCAUCAAGUUUCAAAGCCUGUUUAUGACGAGACCGGAUGCCAAGCGUGCCAGGAUCUGCUUGACAGUGCGAAGGCGAGCAGAAUCCCAAGCAUUGAAGAAUUUUCUAAGGCAUGCAAAGGCUCAUCAAGUCUCAAAGCCUGUUUAUGGCGAGACCAGAUGCCAAGCGUGCCAGGAUCUGCUCGACCGCGCGAAGGCGAGCAGAAUCCCAAACAUUGAAGAAUUUUCUAAGGCAUGCAAAGGCUCAUCAAGUCUCAAAGCCUGUUUAUGGCGAGACCAGAUGCCAAACGUGCCAGAAUCUGCUCGACCGCGCGAAGGCGAGCAGAAUCCCAAGCAUUGAAGAAUUUUCUAAGGCAUGCAAAGGCUCACGAUGUCUCAAAGCCUGUUUAUGGCGAGACCAGAAGCCAAGCGUGCCAGGAUCUGCUCGACCGCGCGAAGGCGAACAGAAUCCAGAGCAUUGAAGAAGUUUCUAAGGCAUGCAAAGGCUCAUCAAUUCUCAAAGCCUGUUUAUGGCGAGACCAGAUGCCAAGCGUGCCAGGAUCUGCUCGACCGCGCGAAGGCGAGCAGAAUCCCAAGCAUUGAAGAAUUUUCUAAGGCAUGCAAAGGCUCACGAAGUCUGAAACCCUGUUUA